UACGUAGGGUGCAAGCGUUGUCCGGAAUUAUUGGGCGUAAAGAACUUGUAGGCGGUUUGUCGCGUCUGCUGUGAAAUUUCGGGGCUCAACCCCGAACUUGCAGUGGGUACGGGCAGACUAGAGUGUGGUAGGGGAGACUGGAAUUCCUGGUGUAGCGGUGAAAUGCGCAGAUAUCAGGAGGAACACCGAUGGCGAAGGCAGGUCUCUGGGCCACUACUGACGCUGCGAAGCGAAAGCAUGGGGAGCGAACAGG
rnacentral:rRNA from 1 species